AGCCUUCAAAGCUUUAAAUAAAAAUGGAAGUUUUUUAACCCUUGGGUUUUGUAGUGUAAUUUUAACAUUU
rnacentral:tRNA from 1 species